CUUUUGCUGGCGACCGGCGCACGGGUGAGUAACACGUAUCCAACCUGCCCUUUACUCGGGGGUAGCCUUUCGAAAGAAAGAUUAAUACCCGAUAGCAUAAUGAUUCCGCAUGGUUUCAUUAUUAAAGGAUUCCGGUAAAGGAUGGGGAUGCGUUCCAUUAGGUUGUUGGUGAGGUAACGGCUCACCAAGCCUUCGAUGGAUAGGGGUUCUGAGAGGAAGGUCCCCCACAUUGGAACUGAGACACGGUCCAA
rnacentral:rRNA from 1 species